GGUCACGAUAGUGUCGCGAUAGGGCCACGAUAGGGUCGUAUGUCGCAAUAGGGUCACGAUAGUGUCGCGAUAGGGUCACGAUAGGGUUGUAUGUCGCGAUAGGGUCACGAUAGCGUCGCGAUAGGGUCACGAUAGGGUCAUAUGUCGCGAUAGGGUCACGAUAGGGUCGUAUGUCGUAAUAGGGGCACGAUAGGGUCACGAUAGGACCACAAUAGGGUCACUAUAGGGUCAUAUGUCACGAUAGGGUCUUAUGUCAUGAUAGGGCCACAGUGAUAUUGCGAUAGAGCCAUAUGUCACGAUAGGGCCACGAUAGGGUCAUGAUAGGGUUGUAUAUCGCGAUAGGGUCGCGAUAAGGCCACAAUAGGGUCAUGAUAGGGUCGUAUGUCACGAUAGGGCCGCGAUAAGGCCACGAUAGGGUCAUGAUAGGGUCGUAUGUCGCGAUAGGGCCGCGAUAGGGCCACAAUAGGGUCGUAUGUCGUGAUAGGGUCAUGAUGAUAUCCCGAUAGGGCCAUAUGUCACGAUAGGGUCGCGAUAGGGUCACAAUAGGGCCAUGGUGAUAUCGCAAUAGAGCCAUAUGUCACGAUAGGGCCAUGAUAGGGUCGCAAUAGGGCCACAAUAGGGUCACAAUAGGGUCAUAUGUCAUGAUAGGAUCACGAUGAUAUCGCGAUAGGGCCAUAUGUCACGAUAGGGCCACGAUAGGGCCGCAAUAGGGCCACAAUAGGGUCACGAUAGGGUCAUAUGUCGCGAUAGGGCUGCGAUAGGGUCAUGGUGAUAUCCCGAUAGGGCCAUAUGUCGUGAUAGGGCCGUGAUAGGGUCACGAUAGGGUCGUAUGUCGUGAUAGGGCUGCGAUAGGGUCAUGGUGAUAUCGUGAUAGGGCCAUAUGUCGCGAUAGGGCCACGAUAAGGUCACAAUAGGGCCACAAUAGGGUCACGAUAGGGUCAUAUGUCGCGAUAGGGCCGCAAGAGGGUCAUGGUGAUAUCCCAAUAGGGCCAUAUGUUGUGAUAGGGCCGCGAUAGGGUCACGAUAGGGCCACGACAGGGCCAUAUGUCGCGAUAGGGCCACAAUAGGGUCGCAGUAGGGCCAUUAUAGGGUCACAAUAGGGUUGUAUGCCACGAUAGGGCCAUGAUAGGAUCAGUAUAUCGUGAUAUAAGAUGCCAUAUGGUGAUAUAUCGCUCCAUAUCGCUCCAUAUCGCACCACAUUGCGACAUAAGGCAGUAUAUCGCGACAUAAGGUGCCACAUGGCGAUAUAUCGUGACAUAAAGGUGCCACAUGGCGACAUAUUGCGACAUAAAGGCGUCGUAUCGCGCCGUAAAGCAGAAUAUCGCGACAUAAAGGUGCCACAUGGCGAUAUAUCGCGACAUAUCGCGACAUAAAGGUGCCGUAUCGCACCGUAUCGCGCUGUAAAGCAGUAUAUCGCGACAUAAAGGUGCCAUAUCGCACCGUAUCGUGAUAUAUUGCGACAUAAAGGUGCCACAUGGCGAUAUAUCGUGACGUAUCGCGACGCAUCGCGACAUAAAGGUGCCGUAUCGCACCGUAUCGCGCCGUAAGGCAGUAUAUCGCGACACGAGGUGCCCUAUGGCGACAUAUCACGACAUAUCGUGACAUAAAGGUGCCACAUGGCGAUAUAUCGCGACAUAUCAUGACAUAAAGGUGCCAUAUCGCACCGUAUCGUGACAGAAGGCAGUAUAUCGCGACAUGAGGCGCCAUACGAGGAUAUAUCGCGACACGUCGCGACGGAAAGGCGCACUAUGGCGAUAUAUCGGGACAUAUCGCGACAUAAAGGUGCCAUAUCGCACCAUAUCGUGACAGAACGCAGUAUAUCGCGCCAUGAGGUGCCCUAUGGCGACAUAUCGCGACAUAUCGCGACAUAAAGGUGCCACAUGGCGAUAUAUCGCGACAUAAAGGUGCCACAUGGCAAUAUAUCGCGACAUAAAGGCGCCGUAUCGCGACAUAUCGCGACACGUCGCGACGGAAAGGAGCCGACUCACCGUAGAGGGCGGGGGCCGCGGGGCCGUCGCCGGCGUAAGGGGGGGCGGAGGACGAAGCGAUGGGGGAGGGGCCGCCCGACGGCAGCAACCGCGGCCCGCUCG
ensembl:lncRNA